rnacentral:lncRNA from 1 species
GUUUGGGAGACUGAAAUAUACAUAUAUGUGUGCAUAGAGACAUAUAUAUGUAAAGACAUAUGUGUGUCAUAUACAUUUGUACAUAAUGAAUAAGCAUAUUUCACAAGUUUUAGCCUAAUAUGUUUUAGAUGAUAAGUAUGCAUUUAUAUAUAAAUAAUUUGGCAUAUCUCUAUAUAUAAACCUACACUUGAUGUUUCAAUUACAUUUUAACCAUGUCGAUAUAAAUUCCAUAUGUAAGUAGCAAACAGAUGUAUGUCUAGUAUAUGUAUAAUGCACAUACACAGACACACACAUAGACACAUGUGUUCACAAAGUGGUAUACAUGGUUAAACAACGUGAUAUUCUUAUAACCAAUUUUCACAGCAUUUACACUCAAAGGAUUGCAGUCCCCUUCCUACUGCUGCUGUAUGGUAGCUGUGCUUUCAUACUAACAGCUCACUUGGCUGGAAACAAGUAUGAAACUGUUCUGUUCAGGAACUGCCUUUGAAACCAACACUUCCCUCUACCAUCCAGGAACAACUCUUGGCAAAUCUUGGUCCUUUGAGGAUUGACUGAAAAUCUAGAAACUGCCAAAAGCAUUUGAAAUCAAGACAAAUGAAUAUGGCCAAUGGAGAAGCGGUGGACAUUGCUUGGAACUGGUGACUCUGUAUGAUUUUAACAUAAUGAAACUUCAUUUUCUCUGUGGCUUCUAGCCUGUGUCUGCAGUCAGCUCCAAACAGAAUUAUCAACAUGCUUUGAGAUAAUGCAUAUGGAAUCUUUUGGCUACAAAAGAGAGCUCGGCUGUGAAGAGGAGAUGCUGCAAGGCCAAUCAUGCCAAGUUUGAGCUGAGCGUGUGUCUGGACGGAGGUGACAGCUCUGAGGACACCUUGCUUCAGGGAUCCCUCAUUUAGAGGCAGCAUGUGCUCCUGCCACCUUGCACUGUGGCAGCGCCCUGUGCACACAUGGCAGAACAACAGCAUUUAGAUGAACCUGCCAGGCGGUUGUAUUUUCUCAUGCAGAGGCCCAUCACAGCCACGGAGAAAUGCCGCAAUCACACAUUCUGCAGUCCCCAAACACCAAUGAAAGCAAGGAUUGGGCUGGGACAAAAUCAGGAGCCAGAAAAGCAAUCCAGAGGCGAUAUCCAAGCCGAUGUGAACAAUAAGUAGGUAUCCAUCAAGGUUUCAAGAUCUGCUGCCAGAGGAUUGCAGUUGGCAGAGGCCCUGUUGCAAUGAUGAUGCAAUACUCUGUGCAUGACUUCAUCCUGGCACCUAAACUGCGCAAGUGUUAACUGAGCUGGUGCCCGAAACUCAAGGAGAACUAAAACAUAACAUGAUCACACUAAAAGCACUAUGUAUGCUCACAUCUUAUUGGCCAAAAUGUGUCACAUGUCUAAGACCAACGCCAUAAGGCAAGUUGAUUGGGAUGUAUAAUCUCAUUAAAGUAAAGAGUUGGGAAGAAGUAGUCUAACAUAAUAGUUUUAGUAAAGAGAAAAUAAUUUCACAUGGCUGAUUCACCUAGAAUAAAAUGAAUGAAACUGGGAUGAUUCUCCA